rnacentral:rRNA from 1 species
AGCAGCCGCGGUAAUUCCAGCUCCAAUAGCGUAUAUUAAAGUUGUUGCAGUUAAAAAGCUCGUAGUUGAAUUUCGGGGUUAGUAGGUUGGUCAUGCCUCUGGUAUGUACUGGUCUCACUGAUUCCUCCUUCCUGAUGAACCGUAAUGCCAUUAAUUUGGUGUUGCGGGGAAUUUGGACUGUUACUUUGAAAAAAUUAGAGUGUUUAAAGCAGGCUCACGCUUGAAUACAUUAGCAUGGAAUAAUGAAAUAGGACGUAUGAUCCUAUUUUGUUGGUUUCUAGGAUUGACGUAAUGAUUAAUAGGGAUAGUUGGGGGCAUUAGUAUUCAAUUGUCAGAGGUGAAAUUCUUGGAUUUAUUGAAGACUAACUACUGCGAAAGCAUUUGCCAAGGAUGUUUUCAUUAAUCAAGAACGAAAGUUAGGGGAUCGAAGACGAUCAGAUACCGUCGUAGUCUUAACCAUAAACUAUGCCGACUAGGGAUCGGAUGAUGUUAAUUUUUUUAAUGACUCAUUCGGCGCCUU